GCCCGGGUGGUGGAAUUGGUAGACACGCACGUUUGAGGGGCGUGUGGGGAAACCCAUGCGAGUUCAAAUCUCGCCCCGGGCACCA
rnacentral:tRNA from 1 species